UCCAGACAGUGAUGAAAUUUGCAGAACUUGUCUCAGAGGUGCACAUUAACCGAGGACCUCAGUCAGCACUGAAGGACCUUGGGCUGCCAUCAGGCUACAACAGACCAAUAAACUAUUAAAAGACUUACUUAAAAGAUGGAAGAAGAAAAUAUGAGGGACCAGGAAGUGGAUAUUAACAUAAUAUAUAGACUGGCUCCUGCCUGGCCUCUCUGACCAAGGCUGAUGGUGAUUGGGAAACAUUUAUUAACAUGCUGGAGACGUACCUACGGAGGAGGAUUCAGCAUCGAGAAACUGCAAGCUAACAUACCUGGCAUAGUUGAGAGAGUGAGGGCUGGUAUUGUAGUGAUGGAGAGG